rnacentral:rRNA from 1 species
GACGAACGCUGGCGGCGUGCUUAACGCAUGCAAGUCGAGCGAGUGGAUUCCCUUCGGGGAUGAAGCUAGCGGCGGACGGGUGAGUAACACGUGGGCAACCUGCCUUAUAGAGUGGGAUAGCCUUCCGAAAGGAAGAUUAAUACCGCAUAAUAUCAGAUUAUCGCAUGGUAGACUGAUCAAAGGAGCAAUCCGCUAUAAGAUGGGCCCGCGUCGCAUUAGCUAGUUGGUGAGGUAACGGCUCACCAAGGCGACGAUGCGUAGCCGACCUGAGAGGGUGAUCGGCCACAUUGGGACUGAGACACGGCCCAGACUCCUACGGGAGGCAGCAGUGGGGAAUAUUGCACAAUGGGGGAAACCCUGAUGCAGCAACGCCGCGUGAGUGAUGAAGGCCUUCCGGUUGUAAAGCUCUUUGAUCAGGGACGAUAAUGACGGUACCUGAAGAACAAGCCACGGCUAACUACGUGCCAGCCGCCGCAGUAAUAC